AAGUGGCGCACGGGUGAGUAACACGUGGAUCAUCUACCUUUUAGUGGGGAAUACCUCUGGGAAACCGGAGACAAUACCGCAUAAGCCCGCAAGGGGAAAGCAGCAAUGCGCUGAAAGAGGAGUCCGCGGCCGAUUAGCUAGUUGGCGGGGUAAUGGCCCACCAAGGCGAAGAUCGGUAGCCGGCCUGAGAGGGCACACGGCCACACUGGCACUGAAACACGGGCCAGACUCCUACGGGAGGCAGCAGUGGGGAAUCUUGCACAAUGGACGAAAGUCUGAUGCAGCGACGCCGCGUGAGCGAUGAAGCCCUUCGGGGUGUAAAGCUCUUUCGACGGGAACGAUAAUGACGGUACCCGGAGAAGAAGCUGCGGCUAACUACGUGCCAGCAGCCGCGGUAAUACGUAGGCAGCGAGCGUUGUUCGGAAUUACUGGGCGUAAAGAGUGUGUAGGCGGUGUUCCCAGUCUGUUGUGAAAUCUCCCGGCUUAACUGGGAGGGUGCAGCGGAAACUAGAAUGCUAGAGGGUGGGAGAGGUAAGCGGAAUUCCUGGUGUAGCGGUGAAAUGCGUAGAUAUCAGGAGGAACACCUGUGGUGUAGACAGCUUACUGGACCACUUC
rnacentral:rRNA from 1 species